rnacentral:rRNA from 1 species
CUGGCGGCCUUAGCGCGGUGGUCCCACCUGACCCCAUGCCGAACUCAGAAGUGAAACGCCGUAGCGCCGAUGGUAGUGUGGGGUCUCCCCAUGCGAGAGUAGGGAACUGCCA